CCCUUAGCAGUCCAGUGGUUAGGACUUGGCACUUUCACUGCCAGGGCCAGGGUUUGAUCCCUCGUUGGGA
rnacentral:tRNA from 1 species